GGAAAGGAGCCAGAGUGACUUAAAGGUAACCCACAAGGGAUAGGGAGCUGAGUCUGGAGGGUGGGCUGAAGAUGAGCCCAAGCAGUGUGAAAGACCCUUUUGUUUGUUUUUCAUUGAACCAAAGGAAAACACUGAAGAAGCUGAAGUACUUUAUGGGCAUAAUUGAGUCCUGUGGCCUUAAUCAGGCAAAAUUAAGGGAGGUCAAUGACAGUCUUUCCGUAGAAUUCCUAUGCAGAGUGAAUCACUACAAACAAGUACUAUGUGAAAUUCUUGGAAACAUGCUGUGGAAUGGUACAGCACAUCUCAACAGGAAAAGGUGGUUUUAGUGCCUCAUCAACUUGGUAUUUUAUGCUCUGGGCAAAGCCACAGAGCCCAGAAAAAAAUCACCUGUAAGUAAUAUUUCUGCUUAGUCACUGAGUCUGACAACAUCAGGAUAGGCACAUACCUCUGCUUCCAUUUAUGGAUUUUUACAAAUGCCUGGUCAAGGCAAAGAGUUUGGGUCAAAAAUAUUUGAGAGAGAGCUGAAAUGUCAAAGAGCCAAACACCUUAAAGUUGAUGUUGGAUGAUAAUGAAAGUCAGAGGCUCAUCAAGACUGGCCGCUGAAGAAUGAUGCUGUACUGUUGAGGAGAUUUACAGAUUUUCAGAGCCGAGCAGACUGAAAGGUCUUUGCUGAAUCUGAUGUUCAUUAAUUCUGCAAUGUCUUUCCUGCCCCCACUCUGCUCCUCUUCUUCCCCCUUUUUUUUUUCUAUAUGCAAGUUAAUAUAUUCUACCCAGACGGAAAAAUAAUAGUGUGAUUGGGCUGU